ACAGUUAUAAAUACACAACCUUUCAUUCUAGAGAUGGCCCAUUACCACUCACUAAAACAGUCUGUCACAGUGGUGCUCUGGGGCCAUUCAUUUUUCAUGACCUUCUUGGAGACGUGACUGGGAUUUCCUGAAACCACGCAUAGGUCCCUGCCCAGCAAGCGCUCUGCAUUAACAUCCCUUAAUUCUUCUCUUCCAAAGGGCCACUGUCAUAAGGACGCCUGGAAGAGUGAAGAAAGGCCUGAUUGAUCACAAGGUCCUAUCAAAUGUCAAAGCUGGCCCUGGCUGACCUCCCAUCUAUUCAGAGCUGCUUUGAUUUAAUCUCCAAACUGGCUGCUUCUCCAGGCUAGAAGAGAAUUGAAAAUUUCAAGAAGGCAAAGGUGAUGGAAGUGUCUUCAUGAGACCCUUGGGUAACAUAAAUUGGCAAAGAAUUGGAUGAUCUGGGUUCUAAGAUCUGGCCUUAAAACUAGCCAUCUAUUGACUGAGUGAAAUAUUUUGCUACAGAGUGGUAGAGGAUCACUAGGCACAACCCUCUGCUCUUGAGUUGCUAAAAGGGCCUACUUCCAGAGAUGGCCAAGAAAGUUUGGGACUCUAGCACUCAGCUGAUUUUCCUAAAGAAAAGCCCUCAGGAUGUGCUCAAAGACCUGGAUCAGGCACACUGAGGUGAUGAUGGGAGGUCAGGAAAAUGGCCAGAAUGGAACUAAGAUUUAACUUCCCAGAACACUCAUAUAUGAUUUUUCUGAAAAGUUUUUUCCGCACCUUAGCAAUAUUAACUACUUUGAAUACUCAAGUCCAGAAUAAUUACAUUUUCCUUCUUUCACAUUCUGACACUUAUAUAUAUAUCACUUAUGAGAUAUUUAAUACUACUCUUUUGAGAAUAAAUAGUUUAUUUUUAGUGUGAUGAUGUCUUUUUAAUCCAAUGAAACUGUUAGCAUCAAUAAGGACAGAGAUACUACCUUUAUUUCUGGCACACAGUUCUCUGUAUCUCGCAAACUCCAGCACAGUAUAAUCUACUCAGCAUCAGACACAUGGGAAAACACUAUCUAAACAGGAAAGCAUUGUACAAACAUUAGUAGUUGUUAUUAUGAUUAGAAUUGAUGUUUCAGGUAAUUUAAUAAUUACUCUUACUUCUGGUACAUACCCUCCUCCAGGAAUGUAAAAGCUCGUCAGUGUUUACUGGGCUUAGCAUAGAUGUCCUGAGAUCUUAGCAUUUCUAAGAUUUCAAACUGUACAAGAAUAUACAAAAGAACAUUUAUCAUGCUCUCCAUUCAGAAGGAUAAUAUUAAAAAUUAAUAAGCAUUUUAGUCUGCUGGGAUGCAACAUAAUUCAGGGGAGGGGAGGAGGUCCGUCGCUAUCUUUUUCAAGGGCAAUUCACAACAACACUUUGCAUGAUAAAUUCCUGAAGCUUGAUGUUCUCCUCACCAUUAUACAAUGUGAGUGCUGACAAGGUCUUUUAAAAAUAACAAUACUUUAUUUUAAAUUAGUUCAUCUGUUUGGGGAAAAAGGCAGCAGUGUGCACCUAUAUAGGUGUCAUAUCCUUUAGUCCCAUAAAUUUCACAACUAAAACUAUAUCUUCUUUUUUUGUUUGUUUGAAAUGGAGUCUCACUCUGUUACCCAGGCUGAAAUGCAGUGGCACAAUUUCGGCUCACUGCAGCCUCCACCUCCUGGGCUCAAGUGAUUCCCCUGCCUCAGUCUCCUGAGUAGCUGGGAUUACAGGUGGCCACCACCGCACCCAGCUAAUGUUUGUAUUUUUAGUAAAGAUGGGGUUUUACCAUGUUGGCCAAGCUGGUCUUGAACUCCUGACCUCAGGUGAACCACCUGCCUUGGCCUCCCAAAGUGCUGGGAUUACAGAAAUGAGCCACCACGCCUGGCCUAAAACUAUAUCUUAAAAAAAAUAGUUCACGUAAGAAACAAAAAUCUUAAGGAAGGAAUGACUUUACUUGUGACUUAUUGAUGAUAAAAGGAACUUGGAAACAAUUUGGAUGCCCAAUAUUAGAAAUGCUUAAAUAAAUUAUACUAGCAAGAAAACACAUUAGAAAGAUGUUAACAUUUAGCACUUUAGAGCUUAGACAAAUAUAUAGAAAAAUUUUUUUUGGAAAAGCUUAAUGCGAUAUUUGUACACAAGUAUGUGAAAUGCUAUAUAUGAAUGCUAACAUUCCCCAAAAGCAAAGACUUAUUUUACUGGGUAGGCUGUUUGCAUUGUAUAAAAAACAUGAGUUUAGAAUUAGAGCUAGAUUUAAAUUCCAGUUCUUCCAUAAGCUGUGUGACACUUGCAAAUUAUUAAUCCUCUCUGGAUAUCUAUUUCCUUAUUAGCAAGUGUGUGUGUGUGUGUGUGUGUGUGUGUGUGUGUGUGUGUGUGUGUGUUAAGCAAAGCCACUUUAAGAGUCUAGGACAUAGUAGGAGCUCAAUGCUAUUAUUUCCCUUUCCCUUUACUAAAUACCUGAGACUCCCUUGGUUUAAAAAGUUUUGUUCAAAUUGACUGACUUUUAUAGAAAUUUCAAUGUCGUUGUUUUUGACCCAUGCAAGAAUUUCUAACAGAUGAGACUCUAUUAAUUAAUGUGAUGAUUCUCCUGUAAUUGGUCAAUAAUCUUUACAUUUGAAUAGAUUUCAGAACAGUAUUAAAUAUCUUGGGUUGGAGGUUAAUUUCUAUAAACAGAAAUGUAUAUCCAACAGUGUUGCAUUUUAGCUGAUCUUGACUAUAAACGAGUGCAAUUUGUGUUCAUUUCCCAUAUAUCAUUGACACUAAAUUUUGGAACACUUACAUCUGGGUUAUGUUUGAGUAACCUUCUGGGAGUAUCUCUCCAUAGAUUUGGGAAUGAAAUAUCUCCCAAAUAUAAUGCAAUUUCAGAAUGCCUAGAAACUCACUACGUAGUAUAUAUGCGUAUUUAAAAGAAACUGGUCUCAUACAUGAUAAAAGAAGGUUAAUGCUAGACAUAAUGACUAUUGCCACUUGGUAGCAGGGGCCAGAGAGAACAGGAAAAAGAUUAAACAAGAGGAUUAAAAUUAUUUUUCAAGUAAGGCUAUACCUCUGUAUACGUGCUUAAUUACAAAAGGAAAUUAGGAGCAAGUGCAUGUAUAUUACUGCAUGUAUAAACAUAGAGUUUAAUCGGUUUGGAGUAACUUAAUGACUGCUUGCAAUAUUUCUGGCGAUUUGUUCUAAGCUUUGUGAUUUUAAAUUGGUUUCUUGAAAAUGCUGGAUAAAACAUUUGAAUUCACACAUUGCUUUAGGAAUUGAUUUGGAGAUAAUAAAAUAUAAUGAAAUGUUUC
rnacentral:lncRNA from 1 species